UAUCCUUCACAGAAACUCCGAGCAUGGC
rnacentral:sRNA from 1 species